rnacentral:misc_RNA from 1 species
AACUUUCGGCAACGGAUCUCUUGGCUCUCGCAUCGAUGAAGAACGCAGCGAAUUGCGAUAAGUAAUGUGAAUUGCAGAUUUCCAGGGAAUCAGCGAACCUUUGAACGCACCUUGCGCUCCUUGGUAUUCCGAGGAGCAUGCCUGUUUGAGUGUCAUAAGAUUCUCAACCAUUCUCUCUUGAUGGAGAGUAUGGCUUGGACUUGGGGGUUGCUGGCAGGACUGUCAGCUCUCCUUAAAUGCAUUAGCAAUCGAGUUGGCUAGUCUUUUGACGUACACGGCCUCGGACGUGAUAAUGAUCGUCGUGGCUGGAGCGUCUUUCCUAGACUAUGUACAUAGAUCGCUUCUAAUCUGUUGUUGUCUAUCGAGCUUAGCUACUAGGCAGUCUUUUUGGCUGGCGAACG